GGGCCCGCACAAGCAGAGGAGCAUGUGGCUCAAUUCGAUGCAACGCGAAGAACCUUACCCGGGCUUGACAUGCAGGUGCACGGCCGGCGAAAGCCGGCCUCCUUCGAGGGUCCUGCACAGGUGCUGCAUGGCUGUCGUCAGUUCGUGCCGUGAGGUGUUUGGUUAAGUCCAGCAACGAACGCAACCCCUGUGUCCAGUUGCCAGCGGGCAAUGCCGGGAACUCUGGACAGACCGCCCGUUUACGCGGGAGGAAGGUGGGGACGACGUCAAGUCAGUAUGGCCCUUACGCCCGGGGCCGCACACGUGCUACAAUGGCCGGCACAGAGGGACGCCACGCCGCGAGGCGGAGCGGAUCCCCGAAAGCCGGCCCCAGUUCGGAUUGGGGUCUGCAACCCGACCCCAUGAAGCCGGAUUUGCUAGUAACGGCGCAUCAGCUACGGCGCCGUGAAUACGUUCCCGGGCCUU
rnacentral:rRNA from 1 species